rnacentral:misc_RNA from 1 species
AAGUCGUAACAAGGUCUCCGUAGGUGAACCUGCGGAAGGAUCAUUAACGCGUAUCCAAACGUUAAAACCCCCCCCGUGAACCUUCAUCCUGCUCUUGUAACCCGCGUAGUUCGCAAUCUCUUCAGAGACCUCUGGCUACGUGCGAACAUUGGAACAGUUACAAUCGAGCGGUAGUUCUAUAGGCAAUGUUUCUCCAAGCAGUCAGUGUCGGAAAGUGUCAUUGAUUGUGCAAGGAUAGCGCUUCUACGAUUCCUGUAGACCGUACACUCGGGCAGGAGCUUUCCCCUAAUAACCCCACAGUUUAAUGUGAAGCUCAAUGUAAUAGAUUGGGUAAAAAUACCGAACAACUGUUAACAAUGGAUAUCUUGGUUCUC